rnacentral:rRNA from 1 species
CCUACGGGUGGCAGCAGUGAGGAAUAUUGGUCAAUGGACGAGAGUCUGAACCAGCCAAGUCGCGUGAAGGAUGACUGCCCUAUGGGUUGUAAACUUCUUUUAUCUGGGAAUAACAUGUUCCACGUGUGGGCUUUUGUAUGUACCAUAUGAAUAAGGAUCGGCCAACCCCGUGCCAGCAGCCGCGGUAAUACGGAGGAUCCGAGCGUUAUUCGGAUUUAUUGGGUUUAAAGGGUGCGUAGGUGGGGUGUUAAGGCAGUUGUGAAAGUUUGCGGCUCAACCGUAAAAUUGCAGUUGAAACUGGCAGUCUUGAGUACAGUAGAGGUGGGCGGAAUGCGUGGUGUAGCGGUGAAAUGCUUAGAUAUCACGAAGAACUCCGAUUGCGAAGGCAGCUCACUGGACUGCAACUGACACUGAGGCUCGAAAGUGUGGGUAUCAAACAGGAUUAGAUACCCUAGUAGUC